rnacentral:rRNA from 1 species
UACGUAGGUCCCGAGCGUUGUCCGGAUUUAUUGGGCGUAAAGCGAGCGCAGGUGGUUUAUUAAGUCUGGUGUAAAAGGCAGUGGCUCAACCAUUGUAUGCAUUGGAAACUGGUAGACUUGAGUGCAGGAGAGGAGAGUGGAAUUCCAUGUGUAGCGGUGAAAUGCGUAGAUAUAUGGAGGAACACCGGUGGCGAAAGCGGCUCUCUGGCCUGUAACUGACACUGAGGCUCGAAAGCGUGGCGAGCAAACAGG